rnacentral:rRNA from 1 species
AACGAACGCUGGCGGCAUGCCUAACACAUGCAAGUCGAACGAGACCUUCGGGUCUAGUGGCGCACGGGUGCGUAACGCGUGGGAACCUGCCUUUAGGUUCGGAAUAACUCAGAGAAAUUUGAGCUAAUACCGGAUAAUGUCUUCGGACCAAAGAUUUAUCGCCUUUAGAUGGGCCCGCGUUGGAUUAGCUAGUUGGUGGGUAAAGGCCUACCAAGGCGACGAUCCAUAGCUGGUCUGAGAGGAUGAUCAGCCACACUGGGACUGAGAUACGGCCCAGACUCCUACGGAGGCAGCAGUGGGAAG